CACCUGUCUUUGGAGAAAAUUCUUGAUGUUUAGUUCCACAACUUGAAUAACUUCCUGGCCAUGUUUCAUUGGUGGCACCUGUACUCCUUCCAUUGUAGUAUUGUCCUCUCUGACGGUCUUCUCUAUACUACGUCUAUGUCUUCAAACCCAUCGAUAUAGUAUCUAUGUCAUGGUUUAAUAGGCGUUAAUAAUAAGUGCACAUGGUCAUUUUUGAACGGCCAUGUUGAAACGCCUGCAGU